GUGAACGCUGGCGGUAGGCCUAACACCUGCAAGUCGAACGGCAGCACCGUAAGCGCUUGCUCUUACGGGUGGCGCGAGGCGGACGGGUGAGGAAUACAUCGGAAUCUACUUUUUCGUGGGGGAUCACGUAGGGAAACUUACGCUAAUACCGCAUACGACCUACGGGUGAAAGCAGGGGAUCUUCGGACCUUGCGCGAUUAAAUGAGCCGAUGUCGGAUUAGCUAGUUGGCGGGGUAAAGGCCAACCAAGGCGACGAUCCGUAGCUGGUCUGAGAGGAUGAUCGGCCACACUGGAACUGAGACACGGUCCAGACUCCUACGGGAGGCAGCAGUGGGGAAUAUUGGACAAUGGGCGCAAGCCUGAUCCAGCCAUACCGCGUGUGUGAAGAAGGCGUUCGGGUUGUAAAGCCCUUUUGUUGGGAAAGAAAAGCAGCAGGUUAAUACCCCGCUGUUCUGACGGUACCCAAAGAAUAAGCACCGGCUAACUUCGUG
rnacentral:rRNA from 1 species